AGUGAAAAGAACCUAAUUGCUGUUAAAUGAUUGUCCAAAUUGAUACUGUACAGUUAAAUCAAAACUUAUUCAGCAGGACAUCCAACAAUACUAUCAAUUACAAGCUAAGACAAAACAAAAGUGAAUAGGCUAAGCACUCCCCUAAUCAAACAGCUGCUUCUAACUGCCAGUUCUUUGGACCAAAUCNCCUAUUCCAAGCUCCACACUGUGAUACUUUUGUUGCUCAAACUAAUGACUCCAAACAUAUCAGCUUUUAUUCUCUGGCCAGCUGCUUCUGCAAGUGUGUAGAAACCUUAAAUCAACUCACGAGUAAAAUGUGAUUCAGCAUUAAACUUCCCACUUAGCAUUAAGCUUUUUGAANUACAUGCCUUGAAUGACAAGAACGCUGUACAAAAGUUCAUCUAAAAUUAUGUUGCUACAAUUUCAUGAAACUGAGUUGACUAAUCAAUGAGAAGGGGAAACUGUAACCAAUUUCUUCAUAUAUCAAAGCAUAAAACUUUUCGAAAUCAGCAUCAUAGUCUUUUGCGAACUUAAGGUCCAAAGCAAUAAACUAACAGCUCAGAAUCAAUUACCAAGCCACUGCCCUUUACAUGACAUGCUCUACCGUUGGCUCAUGUCUAAUUAAAAAAUGAAAAUAAAUCAACACAAGAAGAACAACACCUAACAAUCAAACUCAGUAUCAGACAUUUAAACAAGGUCAUAUAUGCAUUUUACAAAUAUUUGCCAAAAAAAAAUAUAAAGACUGGGAAAGGAUGCCAAACUACAACUAUACUGAAUAGAAAAGGACACAAACCAAGAUCACAUUCAAUGCAGUUACUCUUGAUAUCUUGAUUUCGUUACCCUUGAUUUUGUUACCGUUCACAAAACUUAGAACACUUUCAAAAUAAUCCUUUUUCCAACUAAUACAAAGCAGCAAAUAACCUGGAAAUUUAAAGCAACACUAUCAGAAAUGUAAAGUUAUUGGUAUAUAUUGUACAAUUUAAUCAUAUUCUCAAUAAAAUCGAUCCAAGUAAAGAAGGUACAGAUUGUAGCUACAGUGAGGGUAUUCACCUCUAUUGCAAACUCAAUGGCAGCAAGUGCCUCCUUUUCUUCUUGAGCUCUCCCUGUUAGCUUGUGACAGCAGCUACCAAUUGAGCCACUUGAGGGGUCAUCACUUCAAUACUAAUACUACUACUAAUAAUAAUAAUACUAAUAAUAAUACAAAUAAUAAUAAUAAUAAUAAUAAAAGAAAUAAUAAUAAUAGUAAUAACAAUAAUAAUAGUAAUAACAAC
rnacentral:lncRNA from 1 species